GUUCACGUAGCUCAAUUUUGGAUAGAGCAGUAACCUCCUAAGUUACAGGUUGACCGUUCAACUCGGCCCGUGAACGCCA
rnacentral:tRNA from 1 species